rnacentral:rRNA from 1 species
GUAGGGUGCGAGCGUUAAUCGGAAUUACUGGGCGUAAAGCGUGCGCAGGCGGUUUUGUAAGACAGGCGUGAAAUCCCCGGGCUUAACCUGGGAAUUGCGCUUGUGACUGCAAGGCUAGAGUGCGUCAGAGGGGGGUAGAAUUCCACGUGUAGCAGUGAAAUGCGUAGAGAUGUGGAGGAAUACCGAUGGCGAAGGCAGCCCCCUGGGACGUGACUGACGNUCAUGCACGAAAGCGUGGGGAGCAAACAGGAUUAGAUACCCUGGUAGUCCACGCCCUAAACGAUGUCAACUAGUUGUUGGGGAUUCAUUUUCUCAGUAACGUAGCUAACGNGUGAAGUUNACCGNCUGGGGAGUACGGUCGNAAGAUUA